UGGGGAAUAUUGGACAAUGGGCGCAAGCCUGAUCCAGCCAUGCCGCGUGAGUGAUGAAGGCCUUAGGGUUGUAAAGCUCUUUCGCCAGGGAAGAUAAUGACGGUACCUGGAUAAGAAGCCCCGGCUAACUUCGUGCCAGCAGCCGCGGUAAUACGAAGGGGGCUAGCGUUGUUCGGAAUUACUGGGCGUAAAGCGCACGUAGGCGGCUUUCCAAGUUGGAGGUGAAAUCCCCGGGCUUAACCCGGGAACUGCCUCCAAAACUGAAAGGCUAGAGUCCGAGAGAGGUGAGUGGAAUUUCCAGUGUAGAGGUGAAAUUCGUAGAUAUUGGAAAGAACACCAGUGGCGAAGGCGGCUCACUGGCUCGGUACUGACGCUGAGGUGCGACAGCGUGG
rnacentral:rRNA from 1 species